rnacentral:lncRNA from 1 species
ACUCCUCGCCGGAACAUUCCACCGGCGUAACCACCAAUUACAUAUACACAGCAUCACACUUUACGCUUACCAGAUCUAGGCUUCCUCUGAGCACGCGCCUCCUUGCGUUUCCCAAACGCACCUCCACAAAAUCCACAAGCCGAAACCUUCGGCGACAAACGGUGGGAUUAUCCUUGAGUCGCUUCCCCUCGGCGCCGCCGCAGCUGACGACGCCGUCUCCAUCAACGUCCGCUGCUCCAACGGCUCCAAGUUUAGUGUCCGAGCGAGUGUGGGAUCCACUGUGUCGCAGUUCAAACAAGUUGUCGCGGAGAAUUGCAAUGUUCCAGCUGUGCAGCAGCGGCUGAUUUACAAGGGACGGAUCUUAAAGGAUGAUCAAACCCUAGAUAGUUAUGGCUUAAUUGGGUUCUGUAGCUGGGUAAGUUCAUGUGAGACCCGACCAUGGCUCAGGUGAGGGGUUCCAAUAACCCUAAGUGGUUUGUUACAUUAUUAAUUCGAUUGAAUCUAGUAUUGAUCCCAAGUUUGUUGAAUUCGAGUUAUUUGAUUUAAUUUUAUUUGUCGUCGUUUUUUUAUAUUUUGAUAUUCAUCCAUUUUAUAUAUUGUGUUGUUCUGGUAUUGCUAAUUUUAUGGAUGUAGGAACUUCUUGAUAUCUAUGGUGGUGAUGGAUAGGUCCAGAAAGGGUGGAGAAGAAGAGCUAUUUUGGCGAUAAUUGUGCCUUAAUUAAGGAUACUAAUUAUUCUUAAUUAAGGUUUUAGUACCGUUUAUGGCGACCAUUUAUGGCGACCAUUAUUGGGGCAUUAUUGGCCCAUAAGAGGCAUUUAAGUGCCAUAAUGUUGGCUCGUUUAUGUCUUUUAUUUUAAUUUUAAAUUUGCUCACAUUCGUUCAUUCUGUUUUGUCUUAUUUUCAGGAUGUUUGAAAAAGCAUUUAAGAAUUUAUCUAUUAAGGCGUCUUCCGAGAAGACGCGAAUUUUGGUGGACAAGACAGUUGAGCUACAAACAAAGAUAGAAAGGAAUAAAGAAGACUUCAUUUUUAGUCUAUUUUGUAAUCGAUGUAUUUUUUUGUAGGGUACUCUUUUUCCCCCUUGAGUUUUUUUCCCACAGGGUUUUGCUCUUGAGGGGUUUUAACGAGGCCCUUUUUUUGUGGGUUUUCUCUUCGGACUUGAAAGGUUAUGUUAUCUAAGCGUCCGGAGUAUUUACAUACUUUCGGUUAGAUGAUAUACCUUCUUGAAUGAAGGAAACUCUGUCCAUCCGGAUUGUAAUUUUUUCUUGGUUUAAUACAACCGUUUAUUGUGACAAAAAAAAAAAAAAAA